rnacentral:rRNA from 1 species
CCCUUAGAUGUUCUGGGCCGCACGCGUGCUACACUGAGUGGAUCAACGGGUCAGCUUGCGCGAAAGCGUUUCCUAAUCUUUAAAUCCGCUCGUUAUGGGGAUUGACGGUUGCAAUUUUCUGUCAUGAACGAGGAAUACCUUGUAAGCGCGGGUCAUCAUCCCGCGCUGAAUACGUCCCUGCCCUUUGUACACACCGCCCGUCGCUCCUACCGAUUGAGUGGUCCGGUGAGGCUUUGGGAUCUGAGCGGAAAGAGCGUUUCGCUGUUUCUGCUCGGAAAACUCAGUCGAACCUUAUCAUUUAGAGGAAGGAGAAGUCGUAACA